AGUGAACGCUGGCGGUAGGCCUAACACAUGCAAGUCGAACGGCAGCACAGUAAGAGCUUGCUCUUACGGGUGGCGAGUGGCGGACGGGUGAGGAAUACAUCGGAAUCUACUUUUUCGUGGGGGAUAACGUAGGGAAACUUACGCUAAUACCGCAUACGACCUACGGGUGAAAGCAGGGGAUCUUCGGACCUUGCGCGAUUGAAUGAGCCGAUGUCGGACUAGCUAGUUGGCGGGGUAAAGGCCCACCAAGGCGACGAUCCGUAGCUGGUCUGAGAGGAUGAUCAGCCACACUGGAACUGAGACACGGUCCAGACUCCUACGAGAGGCAGCAGUGGGGAAUAUUGGACAAUGGGCGCAAGCCUGAUCCAGCCAUACCGCGUGGGUGAAGAAGGCCUUCGGGUUGUAAAGCCCUUUUGUUGGGAAAGAAAAGCAGCAGGUUAAUACCCCGCUGUUCUGACGGUACCCAAAGAAUAAGCACCGGCUAACUUCGUG
rnacentral:rRNA from 1 species